CAAACAUUCCAUGAUAGCCACAUCGACAGAGCUCUAGAUCUUCAUGCACAAGCUUCGCCACCGCUCAUCAGCUGCCAGAAGAAUAAGUAGUCAAAAUGGAGGAGGACGCAGUCUCUCGGAGAGGUUUUCACUGAGCUUGUGCUAUGACCUCAGCCUUCACGCACAGCGUACAAAGUUCCCGUUUGGACGGACCGCACUGAGCAUGUGCCGCGACCUUACACACAGAGACACGCUGGAAACGCGAUCCAUCUCUGCCCGUCUUCCACAUAAACAAGGCCGGUUCCCGAAGCCGCUGACGCCUCGCGCAGCAUACCAAACAAGCAGCGGAAGGAGGGGGGAGAACAGAGAGCGAGUGGGGCCCUGGUUAAGGGGACUCUUAACAUGCAACAUUCACGAGCUGCAGCAGAAAUCUCGGUAAUUUUACGGUGCACUGUGAUGUCUGUGAUUAUCUGUGCACUGUGAUUAUCUGCGAUGUAUAAAAAUAAUAAUAAAUAAUAAUAAUAACAACAACAACAACAAAUAAUAUUAAACAAAAAAUAUAUCCACAACAAAUUGUUCUAUUAUUUAAACAAUGUGGCAAUGCAAUACGUUACUCUAAAGAAUGAAAACUCAAACUCUGAAGAUGAAGGCAACAGAACAGCAGGAGAACAGAUUGCACAUCUUUCAUUUGGUAAAACAUUGGGCGAUAGUUUAAAACACAAUGCACCAGGGUUGAAAUAAAAUCAGCAUCACCAUUUCAGGCACUUUUCAUCAGCUAAAAAAUGUAUAGUAUUAAUAAACUGAAAUGGAAAA